UACGUAGGGUGCGAGCGUUGUCCGGAAUUACUGGGCGUAAAGAGCUCGUAGGUGGUUUGUCGCGUUGUUCGUGAAAACCUGAGGCUUAACCUUGGGCGUGCGGGCGAUACGGGCAGACUGGAGUACUGCAGGGGAGACUGGAAUUCCUGGUGUAGCGGUGGAAUGCGCAGAUAUCAGGAGGAACACCGAUGGCGAAGGCAGGUCUCUGGGCCACUACUGACGCUGAGAAGCGAAAGCAUGGGGAGCGAACAGG
rnacentral:rRNA from 1 species